rnacentral:rRNA from 1 species
AAAUUGAAGAGUUUGAUCAUGGCUCAGAUUGAACGCUGGCGGCAGGCCUAACACAUGCAAGUCGAACGGUAACAGGAAGCAGCUUGCUGCUUUGCUGACGAGUGGCGGACGGGUGAGUAAUGUCUGGGAAACUGCCUGAUGGAGGGGGAUAACUACUGGAAACGGUAGCUAAUACCGCAUAACGUCGCAAGACCAAAGAGGGGGACCUUCGGGCCUCUUGCCAUCGGAUGUGCCCAGAUGGGAUUAGCUUGUUGGUGGGGUAACGGCUCACCAAGGCGACGAUCCCUAGCUGGUCUGAGAGGAUGACCAGCCACACUGGAACUGAGACACGGUCCAGACUCCUACGGGAGGCAGCAGUGGGGAAUAUUGCACAAUG